rnacentral:rRNA from 1 species
AUAUCAAUAAGCGGAGGAAAAGAAACCAACAGGGAUUGCCCUAGUAACGGCGAGUGAAGCGGCAACAGCUCAAAUUUGAAAUCUGGCGCAAGCCCGAGUUGUAAUUUGCAGAGGAUGCUUCUGGGCAGCGGCCGGUCUAAGUUCCUUGGAACAGGACGUCAUAGAGGGUGAGAAUCCCGUAUGUGACCGGUUGGCACCCGCCACGUAGCUCCUUCGACGAGUCGAGUUGUUUGGGAAUGCAGCUCUAAAUGGGAGGUAAAUGCCUUCUAAAGCUAAAUACCGGCUGGAGACCGAUAGCGCACAAGUAGAGUGAUCGAAAGAUGAAAAGCACUUUGGAAAGAGAGUUAAAAAGCACGUGAAAUUGUUGAAAGGGAAGCGCAUGCAACCAGACUUGUCGGCGGUGUUCCGCCGGUCUUCUGACCGGUCUACUCGUCGCCGGCAGGCCAGCAUCGUCUGGGGGCGCCGGAUAAAGGCGCCGGGAAUGUAGCUCCCUCGGGAGUGUUAUAGCCCGGCGCGUAAUACGGCGCCUCCCGGGCGAGGUCCGCGCUUCGGCUAGGAUGCUGGCGUAAUGGUCGUCUGCGACCCGUCUUGAAACACGGACCAAGGAGUCUAACAUCUGUGCGAGUGUUCGGGUGUCAAACCCCUACGCGUAAUGAAAGUGAACGGAGGUGGGAACCGCAAGGUGCACCAUCGACCGAUCCUGAUGUCCUCGGAUGGAUUUGAGUAAGAGCAUAGCUGUUGGGACCCGAAAGAUGGUGAACUAUGCCUGAAUAGGGUGAAGCCAGAGGAAACUCUGGUGGAGGCUCGCAGCGGUUCUGACGUGCAAAUCGAUCGUCAAAAUUUGGGUAUAGGG